rnacentral:rRNA from 1 species
UACGAAGGGGGCUAGCGUUGCUCGGAAUCACUGGGCGUAAAGCGCACGUAAGCGGAUUGUUAAGUCAGGGGUGAAAUCCUGGAGCUCAACUCCAGAACUGCCUUUGAUACUGGCGAUCUCGAGUCCGGGAGAGGUGAGUGGAACUGCGAGUGUAGAGGUGAAAUUCGUAGAUAUUCGCAAGAACACCAGUGGCGAAGGCGGCUCACUGGCCCGGUACUGACGCUGAGGUGCGAAAGCGUGGGGAGCAAACAGG